AAUUCGGCUGCCAUGUUGUACUGUUGGACAGAAGGAAAGAGAGUGCCACGAAGAAGGGAACUGCUGUCAUCAUUAGCUUGGAAUGGAAUUUGUAUUUUGACAAAAGAUGCAGACAUUUUAAGACCUGGAAUGCUCACAAAAAGGACAAGAGCUCAGAGCUGUAUGGAAAUUUACACAAAGGGUCAGUUAACAGAUUUUGCAAAUAUGGAGGAUAAUACAUCAAAGGCAGCAUAGGCGUCCAAACUCCUGUUCAGGGUGCUUUUAAUCAGAAGCUUAAGAGACAAAAGACGACCCAUUGACAAGGCAAAACUGAAUGUUUUAUAUGAAAUUGAGCAAGAAAAGUUUGAAGUGUGGGAAUGAUCAACAUCAAACUUGCUGAGCUUUUGAAGCCGUCGUACCAAAAGUGAAUCCAUUCGUGACACCAAUUAUCUGACCACUCUCUAGCAGAACCAGUGAGGAAGUGAUUCUAGCCAACACUUCAGAAGUAGGAUCUUGGGGCAUGUUGGGGGAAAAAAUAGCAUGUGUUGAUUUUAUGGGAUCUUCCAAAUAUAGUUGUGUAGUAGAUAUUUGUGUACUUAAUACCUAUGUUUGUCACUCUAGUCAUUAACUUUGUAUGGUAAAUGUAUAUGGACCACUGGAAGAUCAUUGUAACUGUAUACAAAUGUUGCAAAUAUACCCUGUUAAGGCUUUAGUGACCUUUUCCAAGGUCAUUUAAUGAAGCAAAAGGUCAUAAUUAAUGGGUUUUUUUUAAAAUCUAUUUUGUUUUAUUAUCAAAAAAAUGUCAUAUGUUUGAGAUUAGGUACAAAGGAUUUUCUUUAACCAAAAGUCAUUUGUUUCUCAUGCAGACUGUAAUUUACUACAUGUACAUGCAUGUAUAUUAUAAUAAUUCUCAUUAAUUAAACCAAGGUGAUCAUCCAGUAAUGAUAUUUUUCUGUGGAUUUUUAACAUUGUUUAAAUAACCUUUGAUGUAAAAUACUUUCAGUGAUAAUACUUUUUAAAAUUUGUGCUUACAUUAUACAUAGAAGUGUGUAUGCAACAUUUGUCCCCAAACACAUUGUACAGCAAAAAUAUUUUUUUUAUUUUGAAAAUAUAGAUUUGAUUUAUGAAAAAUUGUGAUGUUAUCAUUUUUGUUGUAAUUAUUUGGCCCUUAAAUUAUUUUGAUUA